rnacentral:lncRNA from 1 species
AGUGCUUACUUUAUUAGUUAUCCACUGCUGCAUAACAAAUCACCCCAAAACUUAGCGGCUUAAAAUGACAAUAAUCAUUUAUUAACUUUACUAAUUUAUUAACACUCCCCCUUUUCAGGAUGGCACCCUUGCAGUCAACUGAGCCUGCUGUCCUGAGUCUAGGGUCCUCUGUGUUCGGUCUCUCCAGAGAGUGAGUCCCCAGGCUCUGACAGCAUGGGGAUGGGGGUUGACAUGAGGUGACCUGGCUGGGAGAAGUGGAGAAGUCUAACGGCUUCUCAAACAGACACGCAAACAGCUCUGUGCUCAGCUCAACUGUGCCUUCCGUAGUACCUCGUGCCUCUGAUCCCUCAGCCUUUCUGGGGUUCUGCUGCCUGAAUCGGCUCGCUUCUCGCAGCUUCUACCCCCAUAGACGCUUAGCCUCCAGCAUUCUCUGGUCUGCUAAGUCAGUUACCUUUUGUCCAUUUGCUUUCUGGCUUCCAAAAUGUUGAUGACAUCUUUCGAUGGCUGUAUUUUCCUCUGUUGUUUUCUGGGUUUUUUUGUCCUUGUGGAUUUAGGUCUUUUUUUUUUAAGCCCGCUACUGUCAUUUUAGUGGUAGUUUUGGGGGAGACGGCGAAGGCAUGUGAAUGUGCUCAAUAAUUCCAUGCUAAUUGGAAGUCCUCUAUCCAUUUUUCUCAUUCAAUAAAUGUUGAGGUGCUCCAGCAGUAGAAACCGUGUCCUCUCCUUUUUAGGUAUCACUCCACCAGAAAUACUCACAGAUUUGCGUUGAAUCCUGCACUGGUGGGAUGACAGUGGUAAGAUGGUCAACUUUGAGGUGACGUUCGCGGGGGCCUGCGUGUCUCUACCAUCCCUCUCCAGGAUGCAGGCGCGCUGAUAUCUGUUGCCCUUGCAAAUGUCAGGCCAGCUCAGAGAAAGUUCCCUGCUUCCCAGCUCUGCCCUCGCCGGCAGGGCUGGCAGGAAGGUCAUUUGCUGAGUGACUCAUCCACCCGUGCCUUCGUCUGUGGUACUUCACUUCCUGUUGGCUUCAACAUGCAAAGCAGCACCGGGAGCUCCUCAGGCUGCCUGGGAACAGGCAGUGGGACCCACCUCUAGCAGACCCGUUGGAGCCCUCUGCCACCUCCCAGUUGCUGACAUCCUU